AUUGAACGCUGGCGGCAUGCUUUACACAUGCAAGUCGAACGGUAACAGGCCUUCGGGUGCUGACGAGUGGCAAACGGGUGAGUAAUGCAUCGGAACGUACCCAGAGGUGGGGGAUAACGCAGCGAAAGCUGUGCUAAUACCGCAUGUGAUCUGAGGAUGAAAGCGGGGGACCGAGCAGCAAUGUUUGGCCUCGCGCCUUUGGAGCGGCCGAUGUCGGAUUAGCUAGUUGGUGGGGUAAAGGCCUACCAAGGCGACGAUCCGUAGCUGGUCUGAGAGGACGACCAGCCACACUGGGACUGAGACACGGCCCAGACUCCGACGGGAGGCAGCAGUGGGGAAUUUUGGACAAUGGGCGCAAGCCUGAUCCAGCAAUGCCGCGUGCGGGAAGAAGGCCUUCGGGUUGUAAACCGCUUUUGGCAGGAACGAAACGGUGUCCGCUAAUACCGGGCGCUAAUGACGGUACCUGCAGAAUAAGCACCGGCUAACUACGUG
rnacentral:rRNA from 1 species